UAGCGCCGGCAUCCGAGCGUCCUGUGACACAGAACCGGGCACUUCACCCACCGCUACUAAGUUGAUGGCUAAAUAAAGCCGUAUUGUUUCCGCUGCACCGUUGCACUGUCCUUCCGUCCGACAUACAGAUUGGUGAAAGAAGAUGGGAUGCUGCCAACGAGGAACAGGCUUCUGCCUGAGAGCAACGGAAUUCACGUACUGACGGAUUACGAAUGAACAGUCGAGAAGCAGCCGGCUGGGACAGUAUGGCGAAGGCGACCACGAGUCUGCAGCUGGGGCAAGUGGAGUACUUCGAAAAUUUUACGAGCGAUUGGACUAGCUACAAAGAGCGCGUGCAGGCGUGCCUUCGAGCCGAUAAGGUUCCGGAGGAGCGGAAGGUAGACGCGUUCGCUCCUCAAGCCGCUUGCCGCUCCAGAUAAGCCGUCCUCGAAGCCACUGGAAACCUUGUGCGAACUGCUUCGUAGAUUUUUUUUCCCCUGAACGACGUGUCAUAGGAGAGCGAGUGAAGCUUCAUCGCCGAGGGCAGAAGGAGCAUGAAACGAUACCACAGUAUACGUGGCGGAGCUACUGCCAUUGGCACAAACAUGCGAGUUUGGGGCAUUUCUGACGAGGCGCUUCGAGACAGAUUUGUCUGUGGUAUCUCCAGAGUCGACACUCAAAGAUAAUUGUUUUCGGAAGACAAGAAUCUAACGUUUCAACGAGCCAUUGACCACGCAACAUCAUUGAAAGCUGCGCUCGCUAACGCUACAGCUGUUCAUUCGAAGCCUGAAAGCGAGUUCGGGGUGCGUCAGUUGCUUACCAUGCAGGGUAACAACGAAAUGCUUCCGCUGUAACUCUGUUCACACUGCCAAUGCAUGUCCGCACGUCAAUGCGACUUGUUUUUUUCUCUGAAACAGGAAAAGGUACAAUCAGAAAGCCUGUCUAAGGCAGCAGGGAAAAUUGUAACCGAAGCGAAAGCGAACAGUGCAGAACGUUUGGUUGUUACAACCUUCAAAACCACCCCUGCUAAGUGUUGCAGCCGAAGAGGUAGACACAGGAUACCCCAUCAGAUUCAGCUUAAUCAUCGAGAGUGUUUCCUUGCAAAUGGAGCUUGAUACGGGAGCCGCCAUUUCGAUAAUGUCACAGGGUCAGUUCCGCUCACUUUUUCCCACAGUACCUCUUAAGGAAACUAAGUAGACGCGCAAGACUUAUAAGGGCGAACCUGUGAAGCCACGCGGUAUUCCUUUUCUUAGAGUUGAGCUCAAGGACCAGUGCCAGCGCUUGCCGCUGUGCGUGCUUCCUCAAAGCGGUCCGGCGCUGUUCGGGUGCAACUGGCUUCAGCAAGUGCGCAUCGACUGGAGGAAAGUUUGCGGCCUGCAACAGCUACAGUGUGAGCCCAUCACUCAGCGUUGAACGAGUGCCCCAGCUAAAAUUCUUGCUGGACCACCACAAGGACCUCAAGGACGAGCUAGGCACCAUUCGAGAUUCGGAUUCCCCGAGACUUUUGUGUCGGACAACAGCACUUGGCUCGCUUCUGCAGAUUUCCAGAGUACCUGCAGUGAGUGGGAACCAGACACGUGCGAACAACUCUAUAUCACCCCAUCUGCAACGAUCUGACAGAACGUUUCGUCCAGACGCUGAAGGGCGCACAUCGGAAGUCCAGCCGACUUACAUCACCGUCAAAGCUCGCAGAACUCCUCCUGUCGUACCGCAACACUGCGCAAGCGACUCUUUUGCUGUUGGGGAGGCGCCUCAGGACUAGGCUGGACCUCGUCAGGCCCUCCGUUGACGAGUGGGUCGCCAGCAAACAGUUUCAGGACACCAGUCGCCACAGGCGCCGUGCGAUUGCGUUCAGCGAAGGACACCAUGUCCGUGUCCGUAAGGCUGGCCGUGAAACAAGGUGGUCAAGAACUACCGUUCUCGCUCGCACCGGUCCAGUGCCGUGUCGUGUUAGCGCCGUGACCCCUCGAAGUGUGUGUGAAUCGGCGCGUCACCGUAACCACAUCAUACGUGCUCCGGACUCUGACGACACGGUGGUCACAGCCACCAACUUCCACGAUGAGGACCAGGUCACAGCUAGCGCUAGCAGCAUCACCGAGCCUGUCGAACAGCCGUCGACAACCAGGAAAGUCGCCGAACAAUGUCACCGUUACCCACUACGUCAGCGCCGACUUCCCGACUGCUACGGCGCGCAAUCUUCCUACGGGAUGGACAAUAAACAAGUGUGGGGGAGAUAUUUCGCGCACCUAGGCGAUGAGGCGCCACAGCCAGGCAUUCGCCGUGGCAAUUGCGCAAGCGUUAUCACCCUUUGGUUGUGCUCAAAAAGCGCCGUUAUCCAAACUGGCGCUGGCUUUCAUACCGGGAACAUAGAACCGGGCCGUUCUCCCGCCGCUGUUAGGUUGAUGGCUAAAGCCGUGUUGAUAUCCCUCCACCGUUGCGCUGCCCUUUCGUCAGACAUAACACAUUCGCUAAAUAAAAUGAAUAGAUUUCAAGAA